CAAGAUAUAUGGUCGCCUGGAGAGUGUUUGCUGACCCUCCGCGAGCGCUUGGUCAUGGGGAUCUAACCCGGAACCUCAAGACUACGAAUCAAAAGCGCUGUCUACCCAGCUGUCAGGCGCCCCAGCUUUGGUAAUUAGACAGACUGUUUGUUCCUUAAAUGAGCUCAUGAUUCCGACAAAAUGUCUAUUCCUUCAAUGAAAACAUUUCUGCAAAUGACAAAUGGAUAGCAUAGUGUACUGUAUAUAUGGUCUGAUAUUUUUGCAUAAGGUUAUAGAUGUGUUGUCAAAAUGAGACAAAGGAUUAGACAAUGCUUUAUUUUAAUUAUAGCAUUAGACAGUAACUACAAAUUUCAACAAUAACAAUGAUUGUAGUAUGUGAUUGUAAGAAUAUUAGUCUGAAAAUAAAAUUUGCAUCAAUAUCUUAUAUCUGCCUUACUGCGAGAUAUGUUGCUAAUCGUCAUACUCCUUAAGACCCAUCUCAAGCUCAACAUGAAUAAUGGACCACAAAUUGGUAUUCAGAUCAUAAUAUAGUACAAUACUUAAAACUACCAGUAUGUUAAUUCAUACAUCAACAGAGGGUUUUCAUCUCGCUUUCAGAUUUUAGUACAGUGUGCAAAAGUUGAAGUGGGCCUUUAGCAGUUAGGCCAAUGAUAAGAUCAACAAAAUGUUUUUGUAAAUAUUUGAAGAUUGUCAACAAAGGAGGAAAUUUCUAUUAAUAUAUGAAUAGCCAUUACAUUCUUUUAACUAUUCAUGAAAUAACUUUUGUAGACUUCAUAAUCAUUAUUAUAAUCAUAUGGAAUGCAACUUUGUCAACAAUUGAUAAGUACAGUAACAAAAUAAAAAAAAAUUACUGUACUUAAAAUAUAGAACAUUUGUGGUGAAUAAGGAAUGUUAAACUCGGAAAAUAGAAUUUCCCAGUUUUUAAAUUCUAAUUACUUUUCUGAGCAAUUCUGUGAAGUGAAAUGGAUUUAAUAAAUAUAAAAUUUUUA